CCCUUAGAUGUCCGGGGCCGCACGCGCGCUACACUGAAGGAAUCAGCGUGGCUUUCUCCCUGACCCGAAAGGGUUGGGAAACCCGUUGAAUCUCCUUCGUGAUAGGGAUUGGGGCUUGAAAUUGUUCCCCAUGAACGAGGAAUUCCCAGUAAGCGCGAGUCAUAAGCUCGCGUGGAUUACGUCCCUGCCCUUUGUACACACCGCCCGUCGCUACUACCGAUUGAACGGUUUAGUGAGGGCCUCGGAUUGGUCUCGGCCCGCUCUUUACCGGGCGGCGCCGUUGGUCGAGAAGACGCUCGAACUUGAUCGUUUAGAGGAAGUAAAAGUCGUAACA
rnacentral:rRNA from 1 species